rnacentral:rRNA from 1 species
CCAAUAGCGUAUAUUAAAGUUGUUGCAGUUAAAAAGCUCGUAGUUGAAUUUCGGGAUCAAUCUAUCGGUCGUGCAAUAGUACGUACUGAUUUUAUUGAUUCCUCCCUUCUGAUGAACUAUGAUGUCAUUAAUUUGGUGUCAUAGGGAAUCAGGACUGUUACUUUGAAAAAAUUAGAGUGUUUAAAGCAGGCUCACGCUUGAAUACAUUAGCAUGGAAUAACGGAAUAGGACGUUUGAUUCUAUUUUGUUGGUUUCUAGGAUCGACGUAAUGAUUAAUAGGGAUAGUUGUGGGCAUUAGUAUUCAAUUGUCAGAGGUGAAAUUCUUGGAUUUAUUGAAGACUAACUACUGCGAAAGCAUUUGCCAAGGAUGUUUUCAUUAAUCAAGAACGAAAGUUAGGGGAUCGAAGAAGAUCAGAUACCGUCGUAGUCUUAACCAUAAACUAUGCCGACUAGGGAUCGGAUGAUGUUAAUUUUUUAAUGACUCAUUCGGCGCCUUACG